AGCGAACGCUGGCGGCAGGCUUAACACAUGCAAGUCGAGCGGGCGUAGCAAUACGUCAGCGGCAGACGGGUGAGUAACGCGUGGGAACGUACCUUUUGGUUCGGAACAACACAGGGAAACUUGUGCUAAUACCGGAUAAGCCCUUACGGGGAAAGAUUUAUCGCCGAAAGAUCGGCCCGCGUCUGAUUAGCUAGUUGGUGAGGUAACGGCUCACCAAGGCGACGAUCAGUAGCUGGUCUGAGAGGAUGAUCAGCCACAUUGGGACUGAGACACGGCCCAGACUCCUACGGGAGGCAGCAGUGGGGAAUAUUGGACAAUGGGCGAAAGCCUGAUCCAGCAAUGCCGCGUGAGUGAUGAAGGCCUUAGGGUUGUAAAGCUCUUUUACCCGGGAUGAUAAUGACAGUACCGGGAGAAUAAGCCCCGGCUAACUCCGUGCCAGCAGCCGCGGUAAU
rnacentral:rRNA from 1 species